rfam:Loxodonta africana unplaced genomic scaffold scaffold_40, whole genome shotgun sequence.
AGAAUCCAUUUGUGGUCGGUCGGCUCCAGAGCUGCGCGGGGUGGGACACAAAACCCAAACCCGAAGUUGGAAAA